ACCCGUAUGCAGACAUAGUAAAGAAAAAAAAAUAAGAUUUCUUUUUAAUUUUAUAGAGUUGAACUGAAACUCGCUCACAGAGACAUUUCCACUUGACACUAGUGCCUUGGGAGCCUCAAAGUAGAUGAGACGUUUACUAACAAGCACACACAAACACAACCGCCACCUGAUUUCUGCCUGCGUUUCCACUGGCAAUCUUAUGCUUAGCUACCUUUGGACCCCCGGAGGGAAAAGAAACCAAAACAGAACAAAACUUCUCACAUCAGAACUACCAGUUACGGGGGAAGAGAAAAAAGAAAACACAAGCAAACAGAAAAGAAGUCCUCUAGAGUGCAAGGUUUCCCAGGAGCGUGGGCUCUCUGGCACCCUCUCCACGGAGGCGGCGGGCCAGCUGCAUGUCUUGGGGCAUAAUUGUGACGCGCCUGGCAUGGAUGGCACACAGGUUGGUGUCUUCAAAGAGCUGCACCAGGUAGGCCUCGCUGGCCUCCUGCAGGGCGCCAAUGGCCGCGCUCUGGAAGCGCAGGUCCAGGCUGAUGGCCUGGGCGAUCUCGCGCACCAGGCGCUGGAAGGGCAGCUUGCGCAGGAGCAGCUGCGUGGACUUCUGGUACUUUCUGAUUUCCCGCAGCGCCAGGGUGCCAGGCUUGUAGCGACCCACGUUGGCUGUUCUGCCUCCUGUAACGUGUACCCUUUCAGCUACCAUGCCACGUUCAACUAUUGUACUUGAUAAGUAUUGGAAACUGAAGGUACUGAUAAUUUCAAUAGAGUUUCACCAAAGUAGUAUUUCUUGUGAGAAAGCCAUAAUCUCAUCAGUAAUGCCUUUCUAGAAGAUCCAACAGGAAAGAUGAACUAGCAACUCAUCCUGACAAGAAAGUAAAACUCAGGAAAAAUCCUAAGGCAGAGCAGCUUCGCGG
rnacentral:lncRNA from 1 species